rnacentral:rRNA from 1 species
AUAUCAAUAAGCGGAGGAAAAGAAACUAACAAGGAUUCCCCUAGUAACGGCGAGUGAAGCGGGAAGAGCUCAAGCUUAAAAUCUCCGUGCAAGUUUUGCGCGGCGAAUUGUAGUCUAUAGAGGCGUGGUCAGCGUGGGCGCUUGGGGCAAGUUCCUUGGAAGAGGACAGCAUGGAGGGUGAUACUCCCGUUCAUCCCUGAGUGGCUCGUGCGUACGACCCGUUUUCUUUGAGUCGCGUUGUUUGGGAAUGCAGCGCAAAGUAGGUGGUAAAUUCCAUCUAAAGCUAAAUAUUGGUGCGAGACCGAUAGCGAACAAGUACCGUGAGGGAAAGAUGAAAAGAACUUUGAAAAGAGAGUUAAAGAGUACCUGAAACUGCUGAAAGGGAACCGAAUCGUUUCCAGUGUCUAUAAUCUGUGGCAUAUUUCAUUGGCGAGCGUUUGCGUGCGUGUGCUGUGGCAGUGGCUUUUUUGGCUGCGCCUGGUGUGUGUGGUGUGAGUGUUUGCUGGUGCCCUGUGCUGCGGUGGGACGUCAAGGUCAGUUCGUAUGCUGCGGGAAAUGGCUGCCGAGGAGGUAGGGCUUACGCUCCGCGUUUGUCUGUUAUAUCUUGGUGGACGAGUCGUCGCGGUUGGGACUGAGGUGCCUACAACGUGCUUUUGAGUGGGUUUGUGUCUCCGUGUGCGCCGUGUGCGGAUAGCUUGCUAUGCGUGUGUGGUUGUGUGUGGAUGGAUGCGGGCUUUAACUUGUCGCCGUUCGGGACGUUGACGAAAUGGAGCGAUCCGACCCGUCUUGAAACACGGACCAAGGAGUCUAACAUGUGU